GUCGCGAUAGCGUAAUGUGUAGCGUGUCAGUCUGUGAAGCUGAAGGUGCGGGUUCAAAUCCCGCUCGCGACC
rnacentral:tRNA from 1 species